AGAAAAGCAAAGACGGAAAGAGUAGACUAAUGGAAACAUACAGAGAGAAGGACGUUCGGUGAGAGUUCUUUAUGAAGGAAGUUAGACGAAAACCAUUCCAGAGCUGUAUUGCUGAAAUUAGUAAGCAUUACCGUAAGCCUGCGUUAAAGGAUAGGAUUUGUUUGAAUCUGAAGUGAAAAGUUAAGGUGGAACCGUGCAGUAGUAUACUUGCACCCUUACG
rnacentral:ncRNA from 1 species